UACGAAGGGGGCUAGCGUUGCUCGGAAUCACUGGGCGUAAAGCGCACGUAGGCGGAUUGUUAAGUCAGGGGUGAAAUCCUGGAGCUCAACUCCAGAACUGCCUUUGAUACUGAGGAUCUUGAGUACGGGAGAGGUGAGUGGAACUGCGAGUGUAGAGGUGAAAUUCGUAGAUAUUCGCAAGAACACCAGUGGCGAAGGCGGCUCACUGGCCCGGUACUGACGCUGAGGUGCGAAAGCGUGGGGAGCAAACAGG
rnacentral:rRNA from 1 species